rnacentral:rRNA from 1 species
ACACGACUACAUUAGAUACCCGUGUAGUCCCAGCCGUAAACGAUGCGCGUUAGGUGUAUCGACGACCACGAGUCGUCGAGGUGCCGAAGGGAAACCGUGAAACGUGCCGCCUGGGAAGUACGGUCGCAAGGCUGAAACUUAAGGAAUUGGCGGGGAGCACCACAACAGGUGGAGCCUGCGGUUUAAUUGGACUCAACGCCGGAAAUCUCACCGGAUAAGACAGCGGAAUGAUUGCCGGGCUGAAGACUCUGCAUGACUAUCUG